GAUGAAGAACGUAGUGAAACGCGAUAAGUAAUGUGAAUUGCAGAAUCCAGUGAAUCAUCGAAUCUUUGAACGCACAUUGCGCCCGCCAGCAUUCUGGCGGGCAUGCCUGUUCGAGCGUCAUUUCAACCCUCGACCUCCCCUUGGGGAGGUCGGCGUUGGGGACUGGCAGCACACCGCCGGCCCUGAAAUGGAGUGGCGGCCCGUCCGCGGCGACCUCUGCGCAGUAAUACAGCUCGCACCGGGACCCCGACGCGGCCACGCCGUAAAACACCCAACUUCUGAACGUUGACCUCGAAUCAGGUAGGACUACCCGCUGAACUUAAGCAUAUCAAUAAGCGGAGGA
rnacentral:misc_RNA from 1 species